GAUGAAGAACGUAGCGAAAUGCGAUACGUAAUGUGAAUUGCAGAAUUCAGUGAAUCAUCGAAUCUUUGAACGCAUAUUGCGCUCUUUGGUAUUCCGAAGAGCAUGCUUGUUUGAGUAUCAGUAAACACCUCAACCUCUUCUUGAUUUUUCAAAAGGAGUGUGGACUUGAGCUAUCCCAACAACCUUUACCGGUCGGCGGGCGGCUUGAAAUGCAGGUGCAGCUGGACUUUUAUCUGAGCUAAAAGCAUAUCUAUUUAGUCCUCGUCAAACAGGAUUAUUACUUUUGCUGCAGCUAACAUAAAGGAUAAUUGUCCUCUUUGCUGACUGAUGCAGGAUUUUACGACACUUUAUGUGUUGUUCAACUCGAUCUCAAAUCAAGUAAGACUACCCGCUGAACUUAAGCAUAUCAAUAAGCGGAGGA
rnacentral:misc_RNA from 1 species